rnacentral:ncRNA from 1 species
AGAAACACAGUAACAAGGAAAGUAGAACUUACACUGCUGACACAGAGAGUCUUCGUAACGCUGAAAGAAGAUACAGAAAGAAAGUUUGAAAAUGGCCUUUGAGUGUUGAUGCCAAUAUGAGGUAUCAACGGGCGCGCCCGUUAUAGCGCUACAGUAUUAACAUUUUGUUAAAUGGCGUACUGGAUUAUUCCACACGUUAUCUUCUCGUUAAUACUCAUUUUAUUUAUAGAAUGGGUUUUUUAUUUACGAAAAAUGAUAACACGAUUCAGUCAACGUUACAUAUACAACAAUUUAGCGUACUGGAUAAGGUUACUUUAGUGAUAAUGUAACAAACAAAGGUGGUACCGCGAGCUAAGCUUUCGUCCUUUAC